CGCCUAUCAAGUCCAGAUAAACUCCGAAUGGGCAUAAGUUAAUACCGGGAGUGAGGGCAUGGGUGCUAAGGUCCAUGUCCGAGAGGGAAAGAACCCAGACCAUCAGCUAAGGUCCCCAAAUACAUGUUAAGUUGAAUUAACGAAGUAUGACUACUAAGACAGCUAGGAUGUUGGCUUGGAAGCAGCCAUUCAUUUAAAGAGUGCGUAACAGCUCACUAGUCGAGUGGUCGUGCGUGGAUAAUAAUCGGGCAUUAAACAUGUUACCGAAGCUAUGGGAUAAAUAUUAUCGGUAGGGGAGCAUUCUGCUCCGCGUUGAAGGCGAACCGUCAGGUUCUCUGGAGCGUGCAGAAAAGCAAAUGUAGGUAUAAGUAACGAUAAAGGAGGUGAGAAACCUCCUCGCCGAAAGACUAAGGUUUCCUGAUCAACGCUAAUCGGAUCAGGGUAAGUCGGGCCCUAAGGCUAAGCCGAAUGGCAAUGCCGAUGGAAGAACCGGUUAAUAUUCCGGUACUGUAUUAAUGAGUGAAGUGGGGACGCAGGAGUGACACUACUGCCAUCUGACGGAUUAGAUGGUUAAAGGGAGUAGGCGUUGACGGGGGUAGGCAAAUCCGCCCUUGGAGCUGAAUCUGAUAGUACUACAAACCUUCGGGUGCGUAGAUAAUGUAGGUAAUCCGACUGCCGAGAAAAUCCGCUAAACGCUAAUCAUUAAUGCAUCCGUACCACAAACGGACACACGUAGUCGGGUUGAAAAUACUAAGGCGCUCGAGCGAUUCACAGUUAAGGAAUUAGGCAAAAUGACCCUGUAACUUCGGGAUAAAGGGUGCCAUCUGAAAGGGUGGCCGCAGAGAAUAGGUCAAGGCAACUGUUUAUCAAAAACACAUGGCUAUGCUAAUAAGAAAUUAGAUGUAUAUAGUCUGACACCUGCCCGGUGCUGGAAGGUUAAGAGGAGAAGUCAUAGGCAACUAGAAGCUUUGAAUUGAAGCCCCAGUAAACGGCGGCCGUAACUAUAACGGUCCUAAGGUAGCGAAAUUCCUUGUCGGGUAAGUUCCGACCUGCACGAAUGGUGUAAUGAUCUUGACACUGUCUCAACUGUGAUCUCGGUGAAAUUGUAGUAUCGGUGAAGAUGCCGAUUACCCGCGAUGGGACGAAAAGACCCCGUGAACCUUUACUAUAGCUUUACAUUGA
rnacentral:rRNA from 1 species